UGAGGAAUAUUGGUCAAUGGGCGCAAGCCUGAACCAGCCAUCCCGCGUGAAGGAAGAAGGCGCUAUGCGUUGUAAACUUCUUUUCCAGGGGGAGAAUUUUUCCGUCGUGACGGGAAUUGACGGUACUCUGGGAAUAAGCAUCGGCUAACUCCGUGCCAGCAGCCGCGGUAAUACGGAGGAUGCGAGCGUUAUCCGGAUUUAUUGGGUUUAAAGGGUGCGUAGGCGGAUUGAUAAGUCAGUGGUGAAAGGCUGCAGCUUAACUGUAGAGGUGGAGUUGAUACUGGCAGUCUUGAGUAGAGUCAAGGCAGGCGGAAUGUGUAAUGUAGAGGUGAAAUGCUUAGACAUUACAAAGAACACCGAUUGCGAAGGCAGCUGGCUGGGCCAUCACUGACGCUCAUGGACGAAAGCGUGGGGAUCGAACAG
rnacentral:rRNA from 1 species